UUGAAUGCACCAUAAAUACCUUAAGGCACCAGAUCCAUCUAAUUUGAGAUGCUAAGCAGGGUUAAUCCUGGUUAGCACUUGGAUGGGAGUCAACCAAGAGAGGCCAAGGAAUAUUUCAGA
rnacentral:rRNA from 11 species